GAUGAAGAACGUAGCGAAAUGCGAUAAGUAAUGUGAAUUGCAUAAUUCAGUGAAUCAUCGAAUCUUUGAACGCACAUUGCGCCCGCCAGUAUUCUGGCGAGCAUGCCUGUUCGAGCGUCAUUUCAACCAUCAAGCCCCAGGCUUGUGUUGGAGCCCUGCGGCUGCCGCAGCCUCCCAAAACCAGUGGCGGGCUCGCUAUCACACCGAGUGCAGUAGUUUACUCUUCGCUCAGGGCGUGUGGCGGGUGCUAGCCGUGAAACCCCCAACUUCUCAAGGUUGACCUCGGAUCAGGUAGGAAUACCCGCUGAACUUAAGCAUAUCAAUAAGCGGAGGA
rnacentral:misc_RNA from 1 species